rnacentral:rRNA from 1 species
UACGUAGGGGGCAAGCGUUGUCCGGAAUCAUUGGGCGUAAAGAGCGUGUAGGCGGCCCGGUAAGUCCGCUGUGAAAGUCCAGGGCUCAACCCUGGGAUGCCGGUGGAUACUGUCGGGCUCGAGUCCGGAAGAGGAGUGUGGAAUUCCUGGUGUAGCGGUGAAAUGCGCAGAUAUCAGGAGGAACACCGGUGGUGUAGACGGCUCACUGGACCGUAACUGACGCUGAGACACGAAAGCGUGGGUAGCAAACAGG